AGUGAACGCUGGCGGUAGGCCUAACACAUGCAAGUCGAACGGCAGCACAGUAAGAGCUUGCUCUUACGGGUGGCGAGUGGCGGACGGGUGAGGAAUACAUCGGAAUCUACUUUUUCGUGGGGGAUAACGUAGGGAAACUUACGCUAAUACCGCAUACGACCUACGGGUGAAAGCAGGGGAUCUUCGGACCUUGCGCGAUUGAAUGAGCCGAUGUCGGAUUAGCUAGUUGGCGGGGUAAAGGCCCACCAAGGCGACGAUCCGUAGCUGGUCUGAGAGGAUGAGCAGACACACUGGAAAUGAGACAAGGAGCGGACUACUCCCGGAGGCCGCAGUGGGGCAGAGUGGACAAUGGGCGCAGGCCUGAUCCAGCCAUAGGUAGGGGGUGAAGAAGGACUUCGGGUUGUAAAGCCCUUUUGUUGGGAAAGAAAAGAAGCAGGUGAACACACCGCUGGUCUGACGGGGCCCAAAGAAGACGCACCGUAUACCUUCGUG
rnacentral:rRNA from 1 species